CUGGGGAGCUCGGGGGCUUCUGGGGAGCUCAAGUUCUCUGUGUUGACGUGGGUGCUGGUUGUACAGAUGCAGGCAGGUUAUCAAAUCUUAUUAUCUCAACAGAUAUUCUUAAGAGGCAGCAGAUACCCACUGGAAUCCCUCGAAGCCUGGCAGCCCCCCACGGAGCAGAGGGGGCCCUGUGCAUGAGGUCUCCUUUUCAGCCUCAAAAUCACCAACUUCUCAUCAUUAAAACUGAGAGAGAGAGAGAGAGAGAGAGAACACCAAAGCCUCACCGUGGAAACACAUGAACACGAAUGAGCAGGCUGUAGCGGAAGCAUGCCAUCUACUGCCAUCUGCUUCUGGUGAGGCCUCAGGGAGCUGCCAAUCAUGGCGGAAGGUGAAGGGGAGCCAGUGCAUCACACGGCAAGAGCAGGAGCAAGAGAGGUGCCAGGCUCCUUCAAACAACCAGCUCUCCAGUGAACUAACAGAGCAAGAUCUCACUCAUCUCCAAGGGUAGGGCCAAGCCAUUCGUGAGGGACGCACCCCCAUGACCCAAACACUUCCCACCAGGCCCCACUAACAACCCUGGGCAUCACAGCUCAACAUGAG
rnacentral:lncRNA from 10 species